AACGAACGCUGGCGGCAUGCCUAACACAUGCAAGUCGAACGAGACCUUCGGGUCUAGUGGCGCACGGGUGCGUAACGCGUGGGAACCUGCCCUUAGGUUCGGAAUAACUCCCGGAAAGGGGUGCUAAAACCGGAUAAAGUCUUGGAACCAACGAUUUAUAGCCUUUGGAUGGGCCGGGGUGGGAUUCGCUGGUUGGUAGGGUAAAAGCCUACAAAGGGGACGAUCCAUACCUGGUCUGAGAGGAUGAUCCGCCAAACUGGGACUAGGACACGGCCCGGACUCCUACGGGAGGCAGCAGUGGGGAAUCUUGCCCAGUGGCCUAUGUCCUGAUCCACCUCUGCCGCGUGAGUGAUGAAGGCUUUAGGGUUGUAAAGCUCUUUUACCCGUUAUUAUAUUGACGUUACCGGGAGAAUAAGCUCCGGCUAACUCCGUG
rnacentral:rRNA from 1 species